rnacentral:rRNA from 1 species
UCAACGCUGGCGGCGUGCCUAAUACAUGCAAGUCGUACGCGAAGACCCCGCAAGGGGUUGUUAGCGUGGCAAACGGGUGAGUAACGCGUGGGCGACCUGCCCUCGAGUGGGGGAUAACCUUCCGAAAGGAGGGCUAAUACCGCAUGACAUACCGUGUUUGGAUACACGGAUAUCAAAGCCGGGGAUCGCAAGACCUGGCGCUUGAGGAGGGGCCUACGUUCGAUUAGCUAGUUGGUGGGGUAACGGCCUACCAAGGCGACGAUCAGUAGCUGGUCUGAGAGGAUGAUCAGCCACACUGGGACUGAGACACGGCCCAGACUCCUACGGGAGGCAGCAGUGAGGAAUUUUCCGCAAUGGGCGAAAGCCUGACGGAGCAAUGCCGCGUGAAGGAUGAAGGCCUGUG